ensembl:snRNA U4 U4 spliceosomal RNA
AGCUUUGCACAGUGGCAGAAUUGUAACCAAUGAGAUUUAUCUGAGGUGUGAUUGUUGCUAAUUGAAAACUUUUCCCAAUACCCCACCAUGGCAACUUGAAAUAUAGUAGUAAUUGGCAAUUUUUGGACAGUCUCUAUGGAGA